rnacentral:tRNA from 1 species
UUAGGUUGUCUUAGAUAUUUACUACUAAGGCCCUUAAUCCUGUCACCUUAGGUCGAUCGGUACCUCAAGUUGAGAGCCAAAGAAGAUUGAGUAAUUCAAUUGGAGAUUGGCAAUUGAUUUCAGUUCCUAAACUUGUCUAGGUCACACCCAGCAAGGGUUCUCCUGGGCCAUUAGCUCAGGUGGUUAGAGCGCACCCCUGAUAAGGGUGAGGUCCCUGGUUCAAGUCCAGGAUGGCCCAUUCGUUGUUGGGGGUAUAGCUCAGUUGGUAGAGCGCCUGCUUUGCAAGCAGGAUGUCAGCGGUUCGAGUCCGCUUACCUCCACUGAACCACCUUCUAAUUGUCGAAUUCAGGAAGACUCAAGUUGGUAGUGAUUUAGAUUUGUUUUACAUGAAAGAACCUAGCUUCUUAUCAUUCCUCAAAUCGAUUUAAUAAAGAUUUGGUUGAUAGGAUGCUGGGGCUCACUGCAAUAUAAAAAUUGCAUGUGCGUUCAGUAGAACCUUGACAACUGCAUAGAUUGAAGUCUGGAAAGAAUAAAGCAUCUCAUGGAUGCAUUUUUACUGUUUUUGUUUCUCUAUUAGGAACAAAUCUUUGAAAAUGUUUGAUUCUUGAGCAAAGAGCCGAGAUCUAUUAUCUA